rnacentral:rRNA from 1 species
CACGCCGUAAACGGUGGGUGCUAGGUGUGGGGAACCUUCCACGUUCUCCGUGCCGCAGCUAACGCAUUAAGCACCCCGCCUGGGGAGUACGGCCGCAAGGCUAAAACUCAAAGGAAUUGACGGGGGCCCGCACAAGCGGCGGAGCAUGCGGCUUAAUUCGAUGCAACGCGAAGAACCUUACCUGGGCUUGACAUAUAGGGAAAUCUCAUAGAGAUAUGAGGUCCGCAAGGGUACUAUACAGGUGG